rnacentral:rRNA from 1 species
UACGGAGGGUGCAAGCGUUAUCCGGAUUCACUGGGUUUAAAGGGUGCGUAGGUGGGCAGGUAAGUCAGUGGUGAAAUCUCUGGGCUUAACUCAGAAACUGCCAUUGAUACUAUCUUUCUUGAAUACCGUGGAGGUCAGCGGAAUAUGUCAUGUAGCGGUGAAAUGCUUAGAUAUGACAUAGAACACCAAUUGCGAAGGCAGCUGGCUACACGAAUAUUGACACUGAUGCACGAAAGCGUGGGGAGCAAACAGG